AGGAAAAAAAAACAAAACACUAUCACUAACAGGCCGAGGCAGCAUCACUCACUCAGACACUCACUCCACCCCAAUGCUUUCUCUCUUCUCAGACCUUUACCCUCUUCCAAACAAACAAACAUGCCUCUUCAACUUCAACCCUUCUUCAGGCACAUCAAGCCCCCAAACCAAACCCCCUCCACCAACCUCAUUCCCCCAAAACCCUUAAACCCUCUCCAAACACCCCCUUCUUCUCCUUCUUCACCCCCCAUCGACCAUCUAUACAUUUCACAGCUCCUCUCAAGACCCGAUUGGGCCGUGCUUCUAAACCACGACCUCUCCUCAAAGACUCUACUCCUCAACCCUAGUUACGCCGUAAGCAUCUUCCAGAACCAACAAAACCCCUCCCACGCCAUCAAGUUCCACUCCUGGCUCUCCCACGUCAACCCUACAUUGGCAGCACACAACUCCGUGCACCGCGCCUUGCGGAACACGCUGCACCGAAAAGGCCCCGCGCUUCUCUCCGUCGACUUGCUCCGGGAGCUUCGCAAUUUAGGGUUUCGCGUCACGGAGGACCUGCUCUGCGCUUUGUUAGCAAGUUGGGGAAGGCUAGGUUUAGCAAAUUACUCUGCUCACGUCUUCUGUCAGAUCUCGUUCCUCGGUCUUUCCCCCACCACUAGGUUAUACAAUGCUCUCAUUGAUGCUUUAGUGAAAUCAAAUUCAAUUGACCUUGCUUAUUUGAAGUUCCAACAGAUGGCGGCGGAUAAUUGUGUUGCCGAUAGGUUUACGUACAACACACUCAUUCACGGGGUUUGCAAGGUUGGGGUGGUCGAUGAGGCGCUCCGGUUAGUUAGACAAAUGAAGGAUAAGGGACAUUUUCCUAAUGUGUUCACUUAUACAAUGCUGAUUGAAGGGUUCUGUAUCGCGAGCAGGGUUGAUGAGGCCUUUGGAGUUUUUGAGACAAUGAAGGAUAGUGGGGUUUAUCCAAAUGAAGCCACUGUAAGAGCAUUGGUUCACGGGGUUUUUCGCUGCGUGGAUCCUAGUAAGGCACUUGAGUUGUUAUCUGAGUUUUUAGAUAGGGAGCAGGAGCAGGAGCGCGUUCAUUUUAUGUUAGCUUGCGAUACUGUGUUGUAUUGCCUUGCAAAUAAUUCUAUGGCGAAGGAGAUGGUUGUGUUUCUGAGGAGGGUUCUGGGAAGAGGAGGUUAUUUCCCUGGUAACUCUGUUUUCAAUGUCGUAAUGGCUUGUUUGGUUAAGGGAGCUGAGCUGAGAGAGACGUGUGAUGUAUUUGAAAUUUUAAGAAAGCAAGGUGUGAAGGCAGGCAUUGGUGCUUUUCUUGCGCUUAUUGAAGUAUUAUACAAGAAUGAAUGGAGAGAGGAGGGGGAUCGAGUUUAUGGUCAAUUGAUUAGUGAUGGGCUAAUUUCAAAUGUCUUCUCAUAUAACAUGAUAAUUAAUUGCUUCUGCAGAGCCAAAUUGAUGGAUAAUGCGUCUGAGGCUUUCAGAGACAUGCAGGUUAGAGGCGUUGUUCCCAAUCUUGUUACUUUCAAUACACUUAUUAAUGGCCAUUGCAAGGAUGGAGCAAUAGAUAAGGCACGGAAGCUUCUGGAGAGCCUUUUAGAAAAUGGACUUAAACCUGAUAUCUUCACUUUUAGCUCUAUAGUUGAUGGACUCUGUCAAAUAAAAAGGACCGAGGAAGCUCUUGAAUGCUUUACUGAGAUGAUUGAGUGGGGCAUCAAUCCAAAUGCCGUCAUUUACAAUAUCUUGAUUCGAUCUUUAUGCACCAUCGGGGAUGUUGCAAGGUCAGUGAAACUUUUAAGAAGAAUGCAAAAGGAAGGAAUAAGCCCUGACACCUACUCCUAUAAUGCUUUGAUUCAAAUCUUCUGUAGGAUGAAUAAAGUUGAGAAAGCUAAAAAGCUUUUUGAUUCAAUGUCAAGAUCUGGCUUAAAUCCAGACAAUUACACUUACAGUGCUUUUAUAGAGGCACUGUCUGAAUCUGGGAGAUUAGAGGAAGCCAAGAAGAUGUUUUACUCAAUGGAGGCAAAUGGUUGCUCACCCGACUCAUAUAUAUGUAACCUAAUUAUUAAAAUAUUGGUUCAACAGGAAUAUGUUGAAGAGGCUCAAAACAUCAUAGAAAGGUGCAGACAGAAGGGAAUAUCUUUAAAUUCUAUUCCUAAUUUGUAGACUAGUUUUCCGCUAAUUUUUAGGAUGCUGCUACAUUAUUGAGCUUUUGAAAUUGAAGAGGGUGCAGGUAAGAGGGUACAGGUAUGUUAGAUUAUAAAGUUCUGUUGAUAUUGAGAUCUCGUUAUAUGGUGGGUCACAGAUUAUUUAUGCAAAUGUAUGCAUGUACUUUUUGGCCAUUUCAACACAAAAAUAAAGAAUACAAUAAGAAAUUUACUUUCUCCUUAUUAUUUGGUCACUUUCCUUUCAUCAUCAUCCUUAGUGGUUUUGAUGGUGGCAGCUUGGUUAACAUGUUAUACCAUGCUUCCACUGUUGCUGGAUUUAACUUACAAAUUGUGCUGUUUUUCUGGAAUCCACAAACAAUGCCCUUUUCCAUCGUUGUCUCCAUUAAUGGAGUAAUAUCGUUCGCUUUACAAGCACUGUGGUCGAAUUGGGGAGGCUGGGUCAGCCCAUGACAGCCAGGGCUCCAUCUUUCAUAGCUACCCAACCCAUCCUGUGUGUGGAAGAACACGAAUUUGGUGUCAGUCUCAUGACAGGACAACCCAAGAUAUCAAGUUUUUUGGCCAUAGGCCCUUUUGGCAGUCUCUUAUGAUGUUAGUAGUUUUAGUACUAUUAUUAUGGGUGUAUAUCUUACACAUUUCCCUUAAUCAAUGUAAUAUAUUAUUUCUCUCUUGUCCUCAUUUUUCACUUUUCCCCAUACUUUCAACUGGUCCCAUACAUCUUUCCCCAUAAUAGCAAACAAUUGCAGCCCUAUAUGAUCCCGAAAAUCCACUAGGAAACCCUGAAUGAAUAUUAAAGGAAAAUAAAGCAUUUUACUCAGAUUAGAUUAUUUUAGUUUCUUCUUCCUUUUGACCCAAAUGGUAAAUUUUGACACUAUUUUCAACCAUAAAUUCUUACAAAAUUAAUAUAUUUAUGAUCUAGACACAUUUCCAGAUGUUUUCCUAUUAUUCCUUUCAUGUAUUCCCUGUUGAUAUUGAUCCUAUCAAAUAUCAUUGUCAAACACAUUUUAUUGAGUUGAACUGGUCAGAGUCUAGAUCAGCUUGCUUUUGAAGUUCUAACAAAUGGAUUACCCUUGAAGCAUUUGCAUGAAUGUUCAUCUUCUAAGACCAUAUUUACAAAACUAGUAUUUAUUUUAUAUUUUUACUCUUUGAUGUAGGCACCCUUUGCUAUAGGAAGUUAUUCCCUUAUUCGUUGUGAGAGGGAAGGAUGUGGGUGGUAGCUACUUCUAGAGUUAAUGUUUGCAUUCUAUUAUGUCUUUAGGGACAUUAAUCAUCUGAGAUGAAGAUGCUAGGCAUAAAUGGACUUCUAAUUUCCCAAAGAGCGUUUCAAUGAAAUCAUGCAGCCAAGCUCUAUGUUUAAUUACGAUAUAUCUAUUCUGCAUGUUUUCUCUUUUGAACAGAUUGAAAAUUAUUAUUUUUGCUGCUUGGUGAAAUAUACUUUUACUGUUAAAAUUAGUUUGAACAUGAAGUCUGCUGAACUGGAUGUGACAUUGUGAUAUUACUAAAAUUUUCAGUGUGAGGAUUAUCAAUGUAACCUUUCUUUUGUUCAUUGCAGGUUGAGUAUGGCAGGUUUCUUAAUUGCCUGAAUUUUUUCAACUUCUUUCUCAAUUUUGUGUGGCAAAUAUAAUAGCUAUAUGGACCUUGAAAGCUUUAAUAAGCAAUAUUUGAGUUGAAGAGGUGGUCAUGACGUGACUUGCCAUCUUAGUUUUCCAAGAGAUUGAUUAACACUUUCGGAAAGCGUACGGCAGCACUAGCAAAAAAAGCAUUGUCACAUCAACUGUCGUUACAAGGGAUUUUGGAUUUCAAUCAUAAUGCAAGUUGGUUUUUAAUCUUUCAUUCAGUGGCUUAGUGGCUAUUUCUUGAGCAAUAACUAGGAACAAGCCCUGGCAACUCCUUUAAUGCUUUGAUUCAAAUAUUCUGUGGGAUGAUUGAUGAAUAAAAAGCUAAAAAGCUUUUUGAUUCAAUGUCAAGAUCUGGCUUGAAUCCGGACAAUUACACUUACAAUGCUUUAUGGUGUGCGUCUGAAUCUGGGAGAUUAGAGGAAGCCGAGAAGAUGUUUUACUCGAUGCAGGAAAAUGGUUGCUCUCCCGAUUCAUAUGUAUAACUUAAUUAUUAUUAAAAUAUUGAUUCGGCAGGACUAUGUUGAAGAGGCACGAAACAUCAUAGAAAGAUGUUGAUAGAAGGGAAUGUCUUUAAAUUCUAUUCCUAAUUUGUUGAUCAAUUUUCUACUAGUUUUUAGGAUGCUGUUUACAUUAUUGAGCGUUUGAAAGUGAAGAUAUUGAUUCCGGGAUACAGGUACCUCAGAUAUAAAAGCUCUGUUGACAUGAAGAUUUUAUAUGGUGGGACACAAGAAUUAUUUAUGCACAUAUAUGUAUGUAGUUUUUGGUCAUUUCAACACAAAUAAAAAAUACAAUAAGAGCUUGGUAUA